rnacentral:lncRNA from 1 species
AUUACAUACAAUUUUAAAUUCUUAUUCUGAGUUAAAAGAAGCAUCUGGAAGUCAAAUGCUUUUUAAAAUUAGCAUAGGUUUUAGGGAGUGGCUGUAUUGGGUAUAUGUGCACUACAGUUGAACAGGUUGCAACACAGAAAGAAAUUACCUACACAGAAAUAGAUAUCGAAAUAUGAGAACUGAAUGGCUGCUUUUAGUAUUAAUGGAACUAUUUUGUGGAAAGAAAAUGAAGCUGAAUAACUACAACGAUGUCUCUAUGGGAGCCUAUUUGAUUACAUCAGAGUUUUAAAUUGUAGAUAUUCGUAAAUUAAUGGGAGUGUGAAGCUCGGAACCCGAAUUGCUUAUUUUUUUUUCUUGGCUGCACCCCUAACUAGCUAUGUGACAUUGCCCAAGCUACUUAA